GAGUGGCGAACGGGUGAGUAACACGUGGGUAACCUGCCCAUCAGAAGGGGAUAACACUUGGAAACAGGUGCUAAUACCGUAUAACAAUCGAAACCGCAUGGUUUUGAUUUGAAAGGCGCUUUCGGGUGUCGCUGAUGGAUGGACCCGCGGUGCAUUAGCUAGUUGGUGAGGUAACGGCUCACCAAGGCCACGAUGCAUAGCCGACCUGAGAGGGUGAUCGGCCACAUUGGGACUGAGACACGGCCCAAACUCCUACGGGAGGCAGCAGUAGGGAAUCUUCGGCAAUGGACGAAAGUCUGACCGAGCAACGCCGCGUGAGUGAAGAAGGUUUUCGGAUCGUAAAACUCUGUUGUUAGAGAAGAACAAGGAUGAGAGUAACUGUUCAUCCCUUGACGGUAUCUAACCAGAAAGCCACGGCUAACUACGUGCCAGCAGCCGCGGUAAUACGUAGGUGGCAAGCGUUGUCCGGAUUUAUUGGGCGUAAAGCGAGCGCAGGCGGUUUCUUAAGUCUGAUGUGAAAGCCCCCGGCUCAACCGGGGAGGGUCAUUGGAAACUGGGAGACUUGAGUGCAGAAGAGGAGAGUGGAAUUCCAUGUGUAGCGGUGAAAUGCGUAGAUAUAUGGAGGAACACCAGUGGCGAAGGCGGCUCUCUGGUCUGUAACUGACGCUGAGGCUCGAAAGCGUGGGGAGCAAACAGGAUUAGAUACCCUGGUAGUCCACGCCGUAAACGAUGAGUGCUAAGUGUUGGAGGGUUUCCGCCCUUCAGUGCUGCAGCUAACGCAUUAAGCACUCCGCCUGGGGAGUACGACCGCAAGGUUGAAACUCAAAGGAAUUGACGGGGGCCCGCACAAGCGGUGGAGCAUGUGGUUUAAUUCGAAGCAACGCGAAGAACCUUACCAGGUCUUGACAUCCUUUGACCACUCUAGAGAUAGAGCUUCCCCUUCGGGGGCAAAAU
rnacentral:rRNA from 1 species